UUUAAUCCUGAUAAAUUUAAUCCGAGUAUAGCUUGGGUGCUAUAUAAAUAUGUGGCUAUCCUGAUAUAUGUUUUUCAAUGCCAUUUGAUUCUGGAAGCACCUCACACAUAA